GGCGUCCGAGUUGUAAUUUGUAGAGGAUGCUAUUGGGUUGCCACCGGUCUAAGUUCCUUGGAACAGGACGUCACAGAGGGUGAGAAUCCCGUACGUGACCGGCCAGGCGCCCUCCGUAUAGCUCCUUCGACGAGUCGGGUUGUUUGGGAAUGCAGCCCUAAAUGGGAGGUAAAUUUCUUCUAAAGCUAAAUACCGGCCAGAGACCGAUAGCGCACAAGUAGAGUGAUCGAAAGAUGAAAAGCACUUUGGAAAGAGAGUCAAAAAGCACGUGAAAUUGUUGAAAGGGAAGCGCUUGCGAUCAGUCUCGACGGCGGCUGUUCGGCCCCCCUUCUGGGUGGUUUACUCAGCCGCCGCCGGGCCAGCAUCAGUUUCGGCGGCCGGACAAAGGCGCGGGGAAUGUAGCUCCCUCGGGAGUGUUAUAGCCCCGCGUGCAAUACGGCCCGCCGGGACUGAGGUCCGCGCUCCGGCUAGGAUGCUGGCGAAAUGGUCGUAAGCGGCCCGUCUUGAAACACGGACCAAGGAGUCUAACAUCUACGCGAGUGUUUGGGUGUCAAACCCGUGCGCGCAAUGAAAGUGAACGGAGGUGGGAACCGCAAGGUGCACCAUCGACCGAUCCUGAUGUCUUCGGAUGGAUUUGAGUAAGAGCGUAGCUGUUGGGACCCGAAAGAUGGUGAACUAUGCCUGAAUAGGGUGAAGCCAGAGGAAACUCUGGUGGAGGCUCGCAGCGGUUCUGACG
rnacentral:rRNA from 1 species